AUUGAACGCUGGCGGCAUGCCUUACACAUGCAAGUCGAACGGUAACAGAUCUUCGGAUGCUGACGAGUGGCGAACGGGUGAGUAAUACAUCGGAACGUGCCUAGUAGUGGGGGAUAACUACUCGAAAGAGUGGCUAAUACCGCAUGAGAUCUACGGAUGGAAGCAGGGGAUCGCAAGACCUUGUGCUACUAGAGCGGCCGAUGGCAGAUUAGGUAGUUGGUGGGAUAAAAGCUUACCAAGCCGACGAUCUGUAGCUGGUCUGAGAGGACGAUCAGCCACACUGGGACUGAGACACGGCCCAGACUCCUACGGGAGGCAGCAGUGGGGAAUUUUGGACAAUGGGCGCAAGCCUGAUCCAGCAAUGCCGCGUGCAGGAUGAAGGCCUUCGGGUUGUAAACUGCUUUUGUACGGAACGAAAGGCCCUGGGUUAAUACCCUGGGGUCAUGACGGUACCGUAAGAAUAAGCACCGGCUAACUACGUGCCAGCCGCCGCGGUAACAC
rnacentral:rRNA from 1 species